UUCUGGGAGUUGCUUACAGGGUGAUAAGGGAGCAACAAGGCCAACUGGACUGCUUGAUGCACUUAGUGUACGCUUUCCUUAAUUUUAGUUUUGCUGCAUGAGGAAAUUAUUUUUCAUCAGUUUCAAAUUUUUUUUUUGGCCAUAUUUCUGUGUUUAACGGAAUUCCAGGACUGUGCUAUCCCACUUUAUCAAGCUAAUGAGUAAAUGAAUGCCUGUUUACUUCAUAGCAAAAUUGUUGGAAAAGACUCUGAAGUAUUAAGCAGUUGAUCACAUGUGAUAGUGCAACUGAUCCCUGUGGAACCUUUUCAAUUCAAAGAAGAGGAAGUUCUCCUGCUUACCAAGUAGCUGCUGAUGUUUCAAGAAAAGCAUUACAGAACUGCUAACCCUAAGGCUGGAAUAAGCUCAGCUCUGCAGAUGCAUAAACAUCGUCUAGGGUUCUGAUUUCUUGCAGCAGUGUUCUUGGAUGGAUAUUCACAGAACAUGGCAACUGCUCAUGCUUUUGUUAGAAAGUUGCAUUUAUUCUCUGUCAGUGACUGCUCGGCUCCUAACAGUGCCUCUCAAAGGUAGAGCAGAGUUCUGUGGGUUGAGACUGAGGAUCUUCAGCCCAACCCAGCAGUGACCUCACCUUUCUGAGCUUCAGGUAUCUUCCACAACUGAUGCCUUAAACUGUUCUAUAGCAUUCACCACAUGACUUUGUGAUACCAGCCAGUCAGCUUCCAGCACUGCUUGGUAACUUCCACUGUGGGGCCGCACCUCAUCUUGCCG